CGCUGGAAAAUUGGAAAACUCGUCGGAAACUGGGUAAACUUUAAAUGUUCAUAACUUCUUCAAUACUAAAUGAAAUCAAGUGAUUCAAAGACAAAAAUCAUACUUCUUGACGAGACGAAGAGAAAGGUACCUUUCUCGACGGCUAACUCGCUGUGGUUAGGCCGGAAAACGGAUUGAAAGUGGUUAACUCGAAAUGGUUAGCCACUUUCGAUUUUGUUGAGUAUUGAAGAAGUUAUGAACGUUUAAAGUUUAUCCAGUUUUCGGUGAAUUUUCCAGUUUUUUCCCGGACCAGUCACCAUUUAGGCUAUUUUCCAGCCAUCUCCGGCAACUAUUGGGCUUUCAAAUAGGUAUAAUCUUGUUCUACACUUUCCUAUCUUCAUUUUGAUAUAUUAUGGGUCGAAUUUGGUUAAGAAUCAAUUGAGUUACAAAGCUUUGAAAAUUGUCUAAAGAGUUUUUAACAGAAGGACUAAAAUCAGGGAUGGUUGACAAUCUCAGGGACCAUUUCUAUUGAUUUUCAAUCUCAGAGACCAUUUCUAUUGAUUAUGCAAAUCUCAGGGUUGCACCUACUCCAACGUUUUCCCAAAAGAAAUUCCUCGACGUAUCCUUUUGAGGCGAGACAAAUGGAGUCUCCUUUUGAGGGAAGACUGAUGGCAUCCCCUUUUGAGGGAAGACAUGGCGUCCCUAAAAUUUGACAAUGAUGAGGCUAUCCUGAAGAAAGCCCAAAUUGAUUUGGAGCUUGCGAAGAUGAGGACUAUGACCCGCAAAGAAGCUGCUGCUCAAGCAGUGAAAGAUGCAGAAGCGAAAGAGGCAGACAGGGAGGCUGAUGCAGCUAUGAAGACGCUAAAAGGAAGAAAUGCUGCAAAGAUGAUGAAUCGUCCCUGAUUGAAGUUCGAAAGAUGAAAGAGCAAUGAACCAGAAGUUUCUUGGGACCGGCGCAUGUUUUAUUGUAUUUGUAAAUUAUGUUAUCAAAUUCACCAACACAGAGAUUGAGAUUUGUAUUUUGAUUAGUUUCAUUGUAGGAAAGUAGGUAUUGAGACCCGUCUUGUUCAUGGCAGCAGUUCAUUUCCUUAUGCAAACUAUAAAUCUGCAUUGUAACGCAGAAAAUUAGGACUCACAGUGGGAUAGAAAAGUUUUUUGUAGCUGUCUUGUUAUUUUUUCUUUACCUUGUUUUUCUUGGCCUUAAAGAUAGAGGGAGGCGGCUAUCACUUUUAUCUUUGAAGGUGAAUUUUGCGCUGCCCCGCCCGUUUAGAGCGGGGUCUUCCCUACUAACUUGAGGGCUUAGGGCAUGCUGUCAUUGUUUGAGUUAGUUCAUUCAUAUAGCAACAAGAUGUAUAUGCUUCUGGAUCGUAGUGUUUAGUCUGAUUCAAUUAUAUAGUUUUGCCCCCUC